CGCUGGCGGCAGGCUUCACACAUGCAAGUCGAGCGCAUCCUUCGGGGAUGAGCGGCACACAGGUUAUUAACGCGUGAAAGCGUGCCCAUCGCUAGCCGAUAACUCCGGCACACGGAAGGCACUUCCGGAUGUGCCCCUCGUGGCACGGAUCUAUCGCGUAACGAUCGGUCCGUGUCGAAUCGUCAAGCAGGUGGCGUAAGGGCAUACCGAAGGAAGGACCCAUAGCUGGUCUGAGAGGAUGAUCAGCCACAUUGGGACUGAGACACGAUCAAACUCCACACGGGAGGCAGCAGUGGGGAAUAUUGGACAAUGGGCGCAAGCCUGAUCCA
rnacentral:rRNA from 1 species